GCGAACUGCGCGUCAGUAUGUGCGGUAGAGUGUGGGUGGCAAGCGUUGUCCGGCGUUAUUGGGUUUGAAGGGUUGGUAGGCGGUCUAUUAAGGCAGUUGUGAAAGACGGGAGCUCAACUGUCGAGGUGCAAUUGAUACUGAUGGACUUGAGUACUGAUGAGGUAAGCGGAAUGGACGGUGUAGCGAUGAAAUGCUUAGAUAUCGUCCAGAACACCGAUAGCGAAGGCAGCUUACUAAGGAGUAACUGACGCUGAGGCACGAAAGUGUGGGGAUCAAACAGGAUUAGAUACCCUAGUAGUC
rnacentral:rRNA from 1 species